AUCUCAAAGUGCUUUACAAACACUAAUGAAUUAAUCCUCACAACACCCCAGUGAGAACAAAAUCCAGUCUCAUAGCAGAGGAGAAUAUAAUGUUUACAGCACCUUCCAGAGCCAUGAACCAGAGUUUGACUACUUGAAAAGUUUAGAAAUAGAAGAAAAGAUCAACAAAAUUAGGUGGUUACCCCAGAAAAAUGCUGCUCAGUUUUUAUUGUCUACCAAUGGCUGGAUUUAGUGACUCACUUCCAAAGAACAGAAUAUGGCAAGGGUGAAAGAGUCAUUGUAUAGUGGAGAAGCCUGGCAAACAUUGUCUUAACCAAAUGACCCAAGUUAACACCACCAGCUAUAAAACAAUAAAAUUAUGGAAAAUCAGUGAAAGGGACAAAAGACCAGAAGGGUAUAACUUGAAAGA
rnacentral:sRNA from 1 species